CUCUCGUCUGCUGCCACGUGAGACAUGCCUUUCACCUUGAGCCAUGAUUGUGAGGCUUCCCCAACCACGUGGAAUGAUAAAGAAGCUGAAGUCACGAAGGAAAAACAAAUCCUGUCACAGUCUCAUGGGACGGGGUAGGAACUAGAACCAACGACUCAUCCAGAGUUCAUAUUAACUCCGAACUGUUGCCACCAUUUACAGAGACUCAUAGGAGAAGCCGCUUGCUCUACAGUGUGAGGAUUGCAAGCUGUGCUAGGAUUCAAGCUCAGAGUCCCUGAGCCUUUGUCUCCUGUUCUUUCCUGUGUGCUUAUGUGGUCAGUCCACUUUCCUUCUCCGACAUGAAGGCUUGGCCCAUUCCAAGUCUCCUUUGGAAGAAAAUGGGUAAACUAUGAAUGCCAUUGUUUAACACUGUCAAUUGGAAUAUUAAAAUGUUUCUUUCAUUAGAAAUAAACUUUUGUCAAUUUAAACAGUGGAAGAGUAAUUCAUCACAGGGGAAGAGGAAUGAGAACCUUUGGAAUUUAUUUUCAAUAAAAGAUCCUGCUAGUAGAAGAAAACUCCUGAAACCCUGGUUUUACUGAUGCCCAUUAACAUGUAUACUUGAAGCAAGAGUAUGAAGCUCUUAAAAUCUGCCCUUUCAAAAACUUUAAAAAGUUAUGUAGGGAGUUAUAAGUACAUAAGAUGAAAAUGAACACCUUCUCUUAGUAAAUGUAUUUUAGGAGCAUAGAGAAAUUGUAAAGAGAAAGGUGAGAGUAAUAGAACUUCACCUGGUAAUUUUCUGGGGUAAAAGAAAAGGGGAUAAAGGUCCCGGGGCUAUAUUACUAAAGAACAAAUGAGAAAGAAGGGCAACACACUGUUAAAUAAUGUAUGCAACAUUCUGCCCUGAAAUUCUUAUUUUGAGUAAGAUCCUUUACCCUCCCUGACAAUAUGAUCAUAUUGAACAGUUGGAUUAAAAAAAAAAUUGUGGUUUUGUUCAGUAAAAACCUAAAUACCAGGGGAGUAUCUGCUGUCUUUAUACCCAUAUAAUUAGGUGGAAUGUGGAAAAAUCCAAUCAAGCUGUGUCUGACUGUAUAUCUAAUCUGAUUGGCUUUCAACUGGAUCAUAGAGGAGAUAAAUGGCAUUUCUACAACACAGCCAUUCAGUCACUUUGUUAUGAACUUUUUCCUUACCUUAAAUUCAUCCAUAAAUGCCAUUUAAACUCUGGUCCCAAAGGUAGUGAGGCGGUGAGUAGAAAAUAGAAUCUUAACACCCACUUCCUCUGUUCAGUUAUGUCUUUGCUCCUUCAAGUAUGGUCUGCAGGCUGGUCAUCACCUGGGAGCUUGUUUGAAAUGCAACUCUCAGGCCCUCACUCUGACUUGUGCAACCAGAAUCAACAUUUUCAAAAUAUCUUUGGGUAAACUGUAUGCACAUUAAAGUUUAAGAAGCUGUCAGUCAUCUAUAUAACUUCUAUUCACAUGGAAAUUCUGAUUAUGAACCUGCUGCUUAAAUCUAAGAUAUUCUUCACAUGACUUAUACACCUAUUCUGGAAAAUAUCUGAAAGUACCCGGGAAUAAAAUGCAUGAGACUAUCUGUGUAUAUAUAGCUUUCUAUGUUUCUGGUUGACUUUUCUUUUUUUUACUAUUUUAUGGCAAUAAAUAUUUUAUUGAAGC
rnacentral:lncRNA from 10 species